GAGGAAAAGAAACCAACUGGGAUUGCCUUAGUAACGGCGAGUGAAGCGGCAAAAGCUCAAAUUUGAAAUCUGGUACCYUUGGUGCCCGAGUUGUAAUUUGUAGAGUACCACUUUGGGACUAUACUUUGCCUAUGUUCCUUGGAACAGGACGUCAUGGAGGGUGAGAAUCCCGUGUGGCGAGGGUGUUAGUUCUUUGUAAAGGGUGCUCGAAGAGUCGAGUUGUUUGGGAAUGCAGCUCUAAGUGGGUGGUAAAUUCCAUCUAAAGCUAAAUACAGGCGAGAGACCGAUAGCGAACAAGUACAGUGAUGGAAAGAUGAAAAGAACUUUGAAAAGAGAGUGAAAAAGUACGUGAAAUUGUUGAAAGGGAAGGGCAUUUGAUCAGACAUGGUGAUUUGCGCCCCGUCCUCCUUGUGGGGGUGGGACUCUCGCGAUUCACUGGGCCAGCAUCAGUUUUUGCGGCAGGAGAAAACCUUGGGAAUGUGGCUGUGCGUUUCGGCGUGCAGUGUUAUAGCUCUUGGGAAUACUGCCAGCGGGGACUGAGGACUGCGAUACUUGUUAUCUAGGAUGCUGGCAUAAUGGUUAUAUGCCGCCCGUC
rnacentral:rRNA from 1 species